AUCAUGUUGGGGGAAUUUCCUGAUAGCAGAAUUGAGCGGUGCUACUCAGAGUAGAACAAGUGGUCUUGUACAGCAAACCCCCACCUUCAUGAAGAAAAACUCCACACAGCUGUUUCAUUCAAAAGAAGGCUGUUACCAUUGAGUUGCUCUAUGUACAAGAAACUAUAUACAACUUAGAAUAAGCAGGAAUAUUAAGCAGUCCAACAAAGUGCUUCGCCAUGCACUUGUUUCCCUAAGGAACACAGACACAGUACAAUACAGUUGCUUAUAUACAUGGUUCAACCAAUCAUUGUA